GGGAGCUUUUGAAUGCUGCGAAGAGAGAAGACGCCGGUUUUCAUCGAAGUUUUUGUUAAACCCUGGAAAUCAACGCCACAAUUAAUGCCCCUCCCCAGAAAGAACCGCACCGGCAGCAACCCCGUCAGUUCAGUCUUCAGCACACGACGCAACAAAGUCACCCAACCUACCGUAGACCUUCAGCACCGCAGGCAAUAUCGACACCUCGAACUCAUGAUGUGGUCAAUUCCACGCUGGUGUAACAAGCCAUUAAGCCUCAGGCAUGUGCACUGGCUCUUCAUGAGCCCAGUCUCUUAAACAUCUCACCCAUAGAUUGUGUCAGCUGAUGGUAUUGUACAAAUUGCAACAUGAUCAGAGAAAUAGUAGUGGCAAGUUACACUGAGUGAGAGGAGGUAGUGUGAAAUCACUGGUGCCAAGGUGGGCUGAUGUGGACUACCAUACCUCCUAACGUGGACAAGUAAUACACUACUUACCCGAAAUGAACCAUGUUGUAUUUGUUCUGUUACACCCAUACAUAAUUCAUUAGUUCCAUUGGAAGAAAUUCAUUGGAAUUCCAUGGAACAUCCCUCCCAUGAAAUGCGUAUAUACUGUCAUUCUUGAAGGUUGCAGUGUGGUACCACUAGCAACCCGACUUGCAUGUGCAAUUGUUGCAUAGCUCAGGGUUUCAGAGCUAAUUAUGGGGUACUUCUGUCCUGGUAGCACUGACUGGUUUACGUGCCUCAUGCGUGUGCCGUGUGUGCAGGGUAGCUGCUUUUGCUUCCCAGACAAACCUAUGCAAGUAUGAAUAAUGCUUUAAGCUUCACUUGUUGUUACUGUACUACCGCCUAUUGUCCAAAAGACUAGUCCAUGACCCAAAGUGCUAAAAGCACAGCAACUAAAGAACUACAUCACUGCAACUGGAGGUCUGUGUUGAUGUGGGUGCUCUUGCAGACCAUUUCUUGAUAGCGCAACACCAGUGUGAACAUUUUGUCAAGGGGAAGAUUGCAGAAGUGCAAUAACAAGUGAAUUUCAGUACACACAAAUUGAAUAAAUAUUGUCUUGCAUUAGGAGUAUAUAAUCAGCUGUCCGGUGUAUCUGUAGGUGAGGUGUUUAUACAAAGUAAAUAUUGACUGUUCUAACGUGUGGUACAGUAAAAAGAGUUUCACUUAGUGAUCCGUGGAGUGCUAUAUUUUCCCUCCACUCUUCCUUGAGAAUAUACUUACAAUAUGGUAUGGAUCACCUUGCAAUGGUAUCGUUUGAUUGUACCACUCAUUGCAGUCAAUAUUAGCAUACAUUGUACUUAAAAGGCAGUGGUGUAGUCAAGUACAUUUCCAUGAGUACGAAAUGUACUGGAGUAUGAGUAUGA